rnacentral:misc_RNA from 1 species
AAUUAUCGACUGCUUCGGCUUUGUUUCGAAGUGAAGUCGGAUUUGGAGCGUUUGCCGGCGUCGUUCGGCUCCUCUUAAAAGCAUGGACCCGUUCUCCCUCUUGGUGGAAAAAGUAUCCUUGACGUGAUAACCUUUUUGCGUCGCGGAGAAGGCCUCGAGUAAGAGCGGCUUGUUGAAAAGGUUCUUACGACCUUUGACCG